CGCGUAGGUGGUUUGUUAAGCGAGAUGUGAAAGCCCCGGGCUUAACCUGGGAACGGCAUUUCGAACUGGCAGGCUAGAGUGUGGUAGAGGGUAGUGGAAUUUCCUGUGUAGCGGUGAAAUGCGUAGAUAUAGGAAGGAACACCAGUGGCGAAGGCGGCUACCUGGACCAACACUGACACUGAGGUGCGAAAGCGUGGGGAGCAAACA
rnacentral:rRNA from 1 species